GAGUUUGAUCCUGGCUCAGGAUGAACGCUGGCGGCGUGCCUAAUACAUGCAAGUCGAGCGAACAGAUAAGGAGCUUGCUCCUUUGAAGUUAGCGGCGGACGGGUGAGUAACACGUGGGUAACCUACCUAUAAGACUGGGAUAACUUCGGGAAACCGGAGCUAAUACCGGAUAACAUUUAGAACCGCAUGGUUCUAAAGUGAAAGAUGGUUUUGCUAUCACUUAUAGAUGGACCCGCGCCGUAUUAGCUAGUUGGUAAGGUAACGGCUUACCAAGGCGACGAUACGUAGCCGACCUGAGAGGGUGAUCGGCCACACUGGAACUGAGACACGGUCCAGACUCCUACGGGAGGCAGCAGUAGGGAAUCUUCCGCAAUGGGCGAAAGCCUGACGGAGCAACGCCGCGUGAGUGAUGAAGGGUUUCGGCUCGUAAAACUCUGUUAUUAGGGAAGAACAAAUGUGUAAGUAACUGUGCACAUCUUGACGGUAC
rnacentral:rRNA from 1 species